UAGAAAUGAUUAGGGUUUGUGGUGGGAAAUUGCAAUUUAUCUAUUAUAGUUGAAAUUCAACCGGAAAAUUAGAAUAAACAAAUGGGUUACUAAAAAAGACUAUACUAAAAAAAUGUUUUGUUGACAGUGUUUUACUCAAGUGGUGUGUGAGGGUAGAGAGAGAAAUUGGAAAGGAGAGGAAAAAGUAUUAUCCCAUUGAUUGGAAAUGGAAAAGAAAGAGUGUUCGGUGCACCCUUGAAAGAAGAAAAAAGAUGACAAUUCCAGUUUUGACCUAAAUUUAAUGUUUUUCCUUUUAAUUAGAGUGAGAAACAAAAUUUGAAUUUGCCUUUCCACUUCAAUUUCUUUAUUUUUAAUUCUGUCACACACUAUUUCGUAAGUGUUUGGAUCUUGCGGCACGCAUUGCAACAAAUCGAUUCUGAUGCAACUUAUAAAAACAAUUUCACACUUGUUUUUAUAUAAAUUG
rnacentral:lncRNA from 1 species